UACGGAGGGGGCUAGCGUUGUUCGGAAUUACUGGGCGUAAAGCGUCCGCAGGCGGAUUUACAAGUUGGGGGUGAAAUCCCAGGGCUUAACCCUGGAACUGCCUUCAAAACUGUAGAUCUAGAGGCCGGGAGAGGUAAGCGGAAUUCCUAGUGUAGAGGUGAAAUUCGUAGAUAUUAGGAAGAACACCAGUGGCGAAGGCGGCUUACUGGCCCGGAUCUGACGCUGAGGGACGAAAGCGUGGGGAGCGAACAGG
rnacentral:rRNA from 1 species